rnacentral:lncRNA from 1 species
ACCGGGCCUUCGACUUUGCUCAUGUUAGGACGAGAUUCUCCUCCUGUCCCUAACAGGACUGUGGGGGCACAUAUGGGCGUUGCAGGACCUCUCCCACCAUCCAGUCUAAGGAGAACUGGGCCUUCGACUUUGCUCAUGUUAGGGCGAGGUUCUCCUCCUGUCCCUAACAUGGCUGUGGGGACACAUGGGGGCGUUGUAGGGCCUCUC